rnacentral:rRNA from 1 species
AUGCUCGGUUUCCCAUCCAUGGAGCUGCAGCUCACUCCCCUCCGAAGCCUCCCACUCCACUACCGGACCACCACCAAAGCCACUGCCACAGCAACGGCCAACACCGUCUCCGCAUGCUCGGUGGAAUCCCAAGCGCUCAAGCCACGGCCGCAGCUCCCACGGCAGGCGCCCUUCCACAGCCGCAGGCGCAGCAGCCCCGUCCACUUCCCUUCCCUCUGCGCCGCCAUCGAGCGGCUGGUCGCCGAGGGGCGUCACCGGGAGGCUUGCGACGCGCUCCGGGACGCUCGCGCGGGCGCCCCCUUCGUGGUUCUGCCAGCGUCCACCUAUGACGCGCUGGUCACGGCCGCCUCCGCGUUGCGGGAGGCCGGUUCCGCGGCAGGGGUACUCUGGCACAUGGAGAGCUCCGGGUUCCAGCCCGACCAGUACAUGUGGAACCGGGUGCUGGGCAUGUACUUGGUGUGCGGGAUGCUCGCGGAGGCGCGGGAGGUGUUCGAUGGAAUGCCGACCAGGAGCCGGGUCACCUGGGGGGUGAUGAUGGGCGGGCUGGUUGAUGCGAAGCGUCCCCGUGGGGCGCUGGCGCUUUUCAGGGAGCUGUGGGAGGAGCUGGGUGUGGGUGCUGGGCCGAGGGUUGUCGUGGUGGCCGUCCGCGCGGCCACGGUGUUGGGGUCGGUGCAUGCUGGACGGGAGCUGCAUUGUUGCGUUGCCAAGAUGGGGAUGUGCGAGGACCAAUACCUGCCAUGUGCACUCAUCGACAUGUACAGUAAGUGCGGGCGGAUUGACGAAGCGAGGCGGGUGUUUGAUGGGAUACCAUGGAGGAGUGUCGUGGCGUGGAACACGAUGCUGGCAGUGUAUUCGCUCCAUGGGCGCAGUGAGGAGGCAUUGGACUUGUACCACCAUAUGUGCGAGAGUGGUGCCGGCUUGGAUCAAUUCACAUUCUCGACGAUGCUCAGGAUUUUCUCCAGGUUGGGUCUGCUGGAGCAUGCAAAGCAAAUCCAUGCGGGCCUGAUUCAAAGUGGACUACAAAUGGACAUUGUCGGGAAUACGGCACUUGUUGAUCUGUAUUGCAAGUGGGGUCAGAUGGAAGAUGCAAGGCAUGUUUUUGAGAGGAUGCCUAGCAGGAACCUGAUAUCUUGGAAUGCUCUAAUAGCAGGGUACGGCUACCAUGGCAUGGGGAGUAAGGCUAUUGAGAUGUUUGAAAGACUGCUGGCUGAAGGCAUUGCUCCAAACCAUGUGACAUUUCUAGGAGUACUAAAUGCUUGUAGAUUUUCUGGCUUUAUUGACAAAGGGAAGAGGAUUUUCCAAUUGAUGACCCAAAAUCCAAAAACGAAACCACGUGCAAUGCACUAUGCCUGUGUUAUCGAACUUUUUGGGCGGCAGGGGCUACUAGAUGAAGCCUAUUCAGUGAUAAGGAAAUCACCAGUCACCCCAACUGCCAACAUGUGGGGAGCCUUGCUCACUGCUGGUAGGAUGAACAAAAAUAUUCAGCUUGCUAGACUAGCUGCAGAGCAACUCUUGGCAAUGGAACCUCAGAAAGUAAACAAUUACAUUGUGCUUCUCAACUUGUAUAUGAACUCUGGGAAACGGGAUGAAGCUUUGACUGUAGUAAGCACCUUGAAGAGGGCGGGUUUAUCUAUGAGUGCUGCUUGUAGCUGGAUCACAGUCAAGAAAAAGGAUCACAGGUUUUUCUUUAAUGAUAGUCUCAAUCCCAAAAGUUCAGAAAUCUACCAAAGGCUAGAUACACUAAUGGAGGUGAUAAAAGAACUUGGUUAUGUUAUUGAGGAGGAUGAAUUGCUCCCUGAUAUUCUCCCUGAUGAGCAGAAGACAUUGAAAAUGUUCCAUAGUGAAAAACUCGCAGUUGCUUUUGGCCUUAUUAGCACAUCUCCAUCUGCUCCCUUGACGAUCAACCAAAGCCAUCGGCUGUGCCAUGACUGCCACAAUGUAAUCAAAUUUGUAACACAAGUUACGAAGAGAGAGAUUACCGUAAGAGAUGCUAGCAGGUUUCAUCAUUUCAAACUUGGAACAUGCUCUUGUGGUGACUACUGGUAG